ACCAUACCCACUAUGCCUAAAAGGCCUCGAUGCCCACACUGUCACCACCAGACUGGCAUGGCCAAAUCUGCCAACACCUGUCACAGAGAAGAUAAUGUCACAGCAGUCCAGCCGGUGGAAGCUGUCCAUUCCAGAACCAACACUCAUGGACCUGCUUGGACCAUCAUCUCUGGGUUCACACCUUCCAGCUCCAGAUAACAUCUGUGUCAACCCUUGCCUGGAUUUCCCAUGCUAGAGACAUGAAUCAGGAACAACAAUAAAAAAAUUCUUCUUUUU